GACGAACGCUGGCGGCGUGCUUAACACAUGCAAGUCGAGCGGUAAGGCCCUUUCGGGGGUAUACGAGCGGCGAACGGGUGAGUAACACGUGGGUGACCUGCCCUCAGCUCUGGGAUAAGCCUGGGAAACCGGGUCUAAUACCGGAUAUGACUCCAUGACGCAUGUUGUGGGGUGGAAAGCCUUGUGCGGCUGAGGAUGGGCCCGCGGCCUAUCAGCUUGUUGGUGGGGUGAUGGCCUACCAAGGCGACGACGGGUAGCCGGCCUGAGAGGGCGACCGGCCACACUGGGACUGAGACACGGCCCAGACUCCUACGGGAGGCAGCAGUGGGGAAUCUUGCGCAAUGGGCGAAAGCCUGACGCAGCGACGCCGCGUGAGGGAUGACGGCCU
rnacentral:rRNA from 1 species